GAUGAACGCUGGCGGCGUGCCUAAUACAUGCAAGUCGAGCGAACAGACGAGGCGCUUGCUCCUCUGACGUUAGCGGCGGACGGGUGAGUAACACGUGGAUAACCUACCUAUAAGACUGGGAUAACUUCGGGAAACCGGAGCUAAUACCGGAUAAUAUAUUGAACCGCAUGGUUCAAUAGUGAAAGACGGUUUUGCUGUCACUUAUAGAUGGAUCCGCGCCGCAUUAGCUAGUUGGUAAGGUAACGGCUUACCAAGGCAACGAUGCGUAGCCGACCUGAGAGGGUGAUCGGCCACACUGGAACUGAGACACGGUCCAGACUCCUACGGGAGGCAGCAGUAGGGAAUCUUCCGCAAUGGGCGAAAGCCUGACGGAGCAACGCCGCGUGAGUGAUGAAGUUCUUCGGAUCGUAAAACUCUGUUAUUAGGGAAGAACAAAUGUGUAAGUAACUAUGCACGUCUUGACGGUACCUAAUCAGAAAGCCACGGCUAACUACGUG
rnacentral:rRNA from 1 species